rnacentral:rRNA from 1 species
UACGGAGGAGGCAAGCGUUAUCCGGAGUUAUUGGGCGUAAAGCGUCCGCAGGUGGCACUUCAAGUCUGUCGUCAAAGACUGGGGCUUAACCCUGGAAAGGCGGUGGAAACUGAAGCGCUAGAGUGCGGUAGGGGUAGAGGGAAUUCCCGGUGUAGCGGUGAGAUGCGUAGAGAUCGGGAGGAACACCAGAGGCGAAGGCGGCAAGCUGGAUGGGCACUGACACUCAACUACGAAAGCGUGGGGAGCAAACAGG